rnacentral:rRNA from 1 species
GACGUAGGGCGCGAGCGUUGUCCGGAUUUAUUGGGCGUAAAGAGCUCGUAGGCGGCUUGUCGCGUCGUCCGUGAAAACCUGCAGCUCAACUGCAGGCUUGCGGGCGAUACGGGCAGGCUAGAGUUCGGUAGGGGAGACUGGAAUUCCUGGUGUAGCGGUGAAAUGCGCAGAUAUCGGGAAGAACACCCGUGGCGAAGGCGGCUACUCUGGAACGCAACUGACGCUGAGACGCGAAAGCGUGGGGAGCAAACAGG